CCUACGGGUGGCAGCAGUGGGGAAUAUUGCACAAUGGGGGAAACCCUGAUGCAGCGACGCCGCGUGAGUGAAGACGGCCCUAUGGGUUGUAAACCUCUUUUGUCGGAGAACAAAACCCGGGACGUGUCCCGGACUGCGUGUAUCCGAAGAAAAAGCAUCGGCUAACUCCGUGCCAGCAGCCGCGGUAAUACGGAGGAUGCGAGCGUUAUCCGGAUUUAUUGGGUUUAAAGGGUGCGUAGGCGGUCCGUUAAGUCAGCGGUAAAAUUGCGGGGCUCAACCCCGUCGAGCCGUUGAAACUGGCAGACUUGAGUUGGCGAGAAGUACGCGGAAUGCGCGGUGUAGCGGUGAAAUGCAUAGAUAUCGCGCAGAACUCCGAUUGCGAAGGCAGCGUACCGGCGCCAGACUGACGCUGAGGCACGAAAGCGUGGGGAUCGAACAGGAUUAGAUACCCGUGUAGUC
rnacentral:rRNA from 1 species